GACGAACGCUGGCGGCGUGCUUAACACAUGCAAGUCGAACGAAGUGGCGAACGGGUGAGUAACGCGUAAUCAACCUGCACUUCAGAGGGGGACAACAGUUGGAAACGACUGCUAAUACCGCAGACUGUAGGCGGGGGUUGCGUCAGCUUAGCUAGUGGGAGGGGUAACGGCCCACCAAGGCGAUGAUCAGUAGCCGGUCUGAGAGGAUGAACGGCCACAUUGGGACUGAGACACGGCCCAGACUCCUACGGGAGGCAGCAGUGGGGAAUCUUCCGCAAUGGACGAAAGUCUGACGGAGCAACGCCGCGUGAGUGAUGACGGCCUUCGGGUUGUAAAGCUCUGUUAUUCGGGACGCGGUACCGGAAUAGAAAGCCACGGCUAACUACGUGCCAGCAGCCGCGGUAAUAC
rnacentral:rRNA from 1 species